AAAUAACAGCAAAAGGAAGCUGGGAACCUAGUAGAAUGGAACCGAAGUUCGCAGGUGUCGACCGGCUAUCUUGGACUAGACAUGGAUUUUGUGGCUGGCGUUGGCUGCUGGGAAUGGUGUGGCGUCGGAGAGACUACAACUGGUGGAGAGAGGGUGACACGAGACGGAAAGCUUCUUUCAUCAUGUAGCUCCAUGCCCAACGAAAGCAGCAUGAUCACACACAGAGCAACUCAGACCAGGAGUGAGUACAAGAAACAAAAACUCGACGGCAAAGAUUAUGUGGGACUAAGGAGGCGGUGGGUCCUCAGAACGGCAGGGAUCUUGGCUGGACUGGGUUAUGAGGGAUUUAACCCUGAGAAUGUCUUAAUUAAAGCAGAACUUUGGAGAGAAGAGGGCAGUUAUUGUUGGGUUUUGUUUGUUUGAUUUGUAGUCGCUGGAGAUGGAACCCAGGUCCUUGCGUGCCUUGGGCCACGCCCGAACAGGGCUCUUCACCUCUACCCUACUCCCUUUCUCCUCCAUAACCUGGUGUGGAUUACAGCCCCUGGAUACAGCCCCAGGAGACAGCGACAUUCUGUGUCCUCCUUCCUUGUUCCCUUUCUGCUCCUGCCCUGAUCACGAGACAAUCACACUACAUUCAGCACACUGCGUUCAGCCCUGGUCCAGCAGCGUUAGUUACUCUGCCUUCUCUUCCUGUUUGUCUCACACUAUAAAUCAAGUGUGCCCAGGCUGCCCUUAGCUCCUGACAGGCUAUGGCUCCACACGGUCCCAGCUUUCAAGCAUAAUCUCGGUGUUCUUCAUUUUUCAUUUUUCUUCAUCUCCCACUGCUCUCCCUGGCUUUGGGCCCUACACCGUGUGGGUUGUAGCACUUGUGCGUGCUAGGAAAGCCCUUUGCCAUGGAGGUACACUCUCAGCCUAAGGACAAUUUUGUUGUUUGUUUUGUUUUUGAGGCAGGGUGUCACUAUGUAGUUGUUCAGCCUGGCCUCGAACUCACAGCGAUUCUCCUGCCUCAGCCUCCCAAGUGCUGAGAUUUACAGGCACGUGCCACCAUGCCUGGCCCAAGAACAAUUUUGACUCUGAAUUUAAAACUUCUCACCCAGGGUGGGGGAUUUAGCUCAGUGGUUCCGCUGCCUGCCUUGCAAGCACAAGGUCCCGAGUUCAAUCCCCGCCCGGUACCAAAAAUAAAUAAAUAAAAUAAGACUUCUUACCCAGAAAGAGACUGGCCACUAACACAGCUUGAAUGAACAUCAGUGGAAGAGUAGUGUGGCUGAGAGGACAUUCCCCAGGCAGACUGACCGCACGGGUGAUGAACCACUCGGGCAGUGCAAAGAGACAGGGGUGACUUCGCCCUUCACAGACAGGCCUCAGCGAGAAGCAAAAACUUGCUGGGCCCCAUCCCGGCUCGUUCCGAUGGUGAGCCCCUCCACACGGGCUGGAACGGGGCCCUCAAAGGAGCGACUGACAAUUCCUACUCCCAGGUGUGUGGGGAGCACACCGCCAAGUGCCACGGAGAACUCCCCUUAGAGGCCGGAUGAGGGUCUCCGCAGGAGCAGCUGAGCGGACGGUGAAAGCCUCCAUGUCUAAAAGAGUAUUAUGGUGAGAGACACAUUAACCCCUUCAAAGCACUCCCUGUGCUUCUGACACUUAAUCCCGCUGCAGCAGUUCCGGAAGUCCUCUCUUGUGUCUUUGUGAGGCAUGAUCAGAAAUCAGUGAAUGCAGCUGCCAAGUGCUCUCUGACAGAAAGGUAGCCUCAUAAAAACAUUCUGCUGUGGGGCCAGGGAUUUAGCUCAUGGUGCCAUGUCUGCCUGGUAAGCUCAAGGUCCUGAGUUCAAUCCUGGGUACCGCAAAAACAAACAGACAAAAAUUAUGCUGUGUUGAGCGAGAUGUGGUGGUGCACACCUGUAAUCCCAGCACUAGGGAGGCUGAGGCAGGAAGAUUGCCGUGAGUUUGAGGCCAGCCUGAACUAUAUAGCAAGACCCUGUCGCAAAACAAGACCCCAAAAAUAUGACACUGUGCCCUGAUCCACCCAAGUCCACCUGAUUCACUGGAAUCUAGCACCGUGCAACUACUGCUGUUCCAUGAAGUCAAAAUGCCUGUGAAAGGUAAACAUUUUCAUUGAUUUGGGUCACGAAGGCAGCCAUGACAGCACCACGAAAGACACUCGUGAAAGAAGACUGCUAGAACUGCUUCAGAACAGGGAAAGAAGGAUGGGUUGUGUAUUCAAAGUGAAGGAGAGCUAUCUUGAGGGGGAUAGAAAUGGGAAUGUGUCUUACUGUAAGCAACUUUUCAAAUUUAAAUACUAUCUUUUUCCAUUACAUUUCAUAGUAAAACAACAGUUUUUUUGUUGUUUUUUGAGACAGUUUCAUGAUGUAGUUUAAGUUGGCUUUGAAUGCACUGUGUAGACCAGGUUGGCUUGGAUCCCUUGGCGAUCCUCCUACUUCAGCCUCCAGAGUGCUGAGAUUACAGGUGUGCGCCAUCAUGCUGGGUUCAACAUUUCUCUUUCCCACGGGGAAUUUAGCUUAGUGGUGCUGCCUCCUGCCUUGCGAGUGCAAGGUCCUGAGUCUGAUCCCGGUACUCCCCAAAAAAAUUUCUUUCUCUCCUUUUUUUGGGGGGUACCGGGGAUCAAACUCAGGAUCUUGCACUCGCGAGGCAGGCGCGGUGCCACUGAGCUGCGUCCCCAGCCCUACAAGUCACUUAACUGGAGUAGGAAAAAGCAUGGAAGCUGCUGGGGCAACUCUGCAAUAUGUGUGUGGCCCCGUGUCCAAUCCCCAAUACUGCAAAAUACAUUAAAGCCGGGGCAGUGGCCCAAGCCUACAGUCUCAGCUGUUCCAAGGAGGCUGAGGCAAGCGUAUCGCAAGUUAGAGGCUGACCGAGGUAGUACAGGGAGACUCUGUCUGCAGAAGGAAAUAAACAAG
rnacentral:lncRNA from 1 species